UCUCACCUCCCUGCUCAGGCAGGGCCAUCCCAGAGCACAGGGCACGGGAUUGUGUCCAGGGGGUUCUGGAACAUCUCUAGUGAGGGACACUCCACACCAGAGUUGGGAUGCUGUGGCAGGGGG